CUCGCUGCUUUAUUUGCGCUCGAGACUUUGAAUUCCUCGCUACGCUCAGGAUUCUAUUUUUGAACCACUUGCUUCGCCCGUGGUUCAACCUUAGAAUCCUUCGCUGGCUCGGAAUUCAAUACAAACUCUCGCGACAAAAUAACAACUUUGCAGCCUUGCAUAACAAUUAACUAUUAUUAUAAAAUGUACCCA